GGUUGGUCCAAGUGCAGUGGUGUUUACAACUAAUUGAUCACAACCACUUACAGAUUCCUUUGUUCCUCCUCCACUCCCACUGCUCCACUUGACCAGCCUUUA
rnacentral:Y_RNA from 1 species